AUCAAACUUGGAGCCCAUUAAAGUAACACCUUUAAGGAGAUCUGGUAGAGUACUGCAUUAAUCGAACAGACACUUCAGUGUCUAGGUCUGGGAUGGCGAUCCUGUUGAGCUCGAUGAGAUUAACAAGGAUCCGAUCACCUAUAGGGAUGCAAUGCAGUGGUCUAACUCUGAGAAGUGGCUUGGAGCCAUUAAAUCUAAAUUGAAGUCCAUGAAAAUUAAUAGUGUAUGGACACUAGAUGAUUCACUUGAAGGGAUAAACCCAUUGGGUAUGAAUGAAUUUUUCAAAAGGAUCAGAGUAGCGCAGAUGGGA
rnacentral:lncRNA from 1 species